ensembl:lncRNA
GGCAUGAUUCCACUUGUAUGAAGUACCUAAAACAGUCCAACUCAUAGAAGCAGAGAGUAAGUGGUAACCUGCGGUUAGGUGGAGGGGGAAAAGGGCACUUGCUAAUCAGUGGGUGCAAAGUCUCAAUUAUGCAAGAUGAGUAAGUUCUAGAGAUCUGCUCUACAACAUUGUCCUUACACUUAGCAAUACUGUAUUGUACACUUAAAAAUUUAUUAAGAGGGUGGCUCCCAUACUAAGUGUUCUCACCAAAAUAAAAUUUACAAAACAACCUAGAAUAAGGAAGCCAAAGUCCCAGUUUCAAAUGUGAGUGGAGCAAUGUGUUCCAGACUUUUAUACCGAAAAUUUUUUCCCUUAAGAGCAGACUUUUUAAAAUCAAUUAAAAGUCAUUUAAAUCCAAGAUUAAAGUGAGUGCUCAAGUUCAAUGUAUCUGUUUGGGGUUAGAACAAUAAGCUAAUAAUAAAAGAAAAUAACUGGUUUCCAUAUAAUGGGAUAUUAUGAAGCUAUUAAAAAUAAUGGAGCAGAUAUAUGUGUACACCUACAAAACACUGUCCAGUGGAAAAAAGAAGUAACAUAACAGUAUGCAAAGCACACCUUUUUUUUUUUAAGAUUUUAUUUCUCCUUUUUCUCCCCAAAGCCCCCAGUACAUAGUUGUAUAUUCUUCGUUGUGGGUCCUUCUAGUUGUGGCAUGUGGGAUGCUGCCUCAGCGUGGUUUGAUGAGCAGUGCCAUGUCUGUGCCUAGGAUUCGAACCAACGAAACACUGGGCCACCUGCAGCAGAGCGCACGAACUUAACCACUCGGCCAUGGGGCCAGCCCCUACAGCACACUUUUAACUGUCUUUCUUUUAUUAUUAUUAUUUUGUAUGUGUGAGAGGAAGAUUAUUGCUGAGCUAACAUCUGUGCCAACCUUCCUCUAUUUUAUGUGGGGUGCCGCCACAGCAUGGCUUGGCAAGCAGUGCUGGGUCUACACCCAGGAUCUGACCCUAAGAACCCCGGGCCAUCGAAGUGGAGCGUGCAAACUUAACCACUAUGCCACCAGGCUGGUGCUUAACUGUCUUUUUAAAUAGGAGUAUGUAUAGAAAUAUAUGCUUGAUCUAUGCAGAGGCUAUUUCUGGAAGGAUAUCUAAAUAAUUGGUAGUUUGCAAAUAGCUGCUGCUCCAAAAAUAUUAAUGUUAGUGUAACAUUUUUAUACGUGUGAUUCUUAGCUCUUAUUAGAUUCAAGAUCCUAUAGGACAAGGAUCAUGCUUUCUUCUUCUUGAUAUUCCCACAUGCACAGGAAAUUACACAUUGUAGAUACUCAAUAAAUAGUUGUGGAUUAACACGCUCAGAUUUACAUAUGGUAAAGCCAAGUAAAGAAAGGGAUGUAGAGAGAAAGAUUCAUCUAAACUGAUGAUGAAAAUAAUGUGAGGGCUUACUUGAGGAAGUACUCAAAUACAAUAUCACAAACUUUUCACAUUCUACUUCUCUCAUAUAAAUAAGUAUAACCAAAACUUGGCAAAAGCCUGCACAUUCUACCUGCUAUUGUUGUAAGUGUAACAGAAAAGAUAAAACUUUCCAUUUUGUCCCCAGAAAGUGGAUACCUCAUCAUGUUUAUCCUGCAACCCAGUCUUGCACACAGCCACCUGCAGUUAUAUUUGCCGUUGUAAAGUUAAUAGACUGUGUGGUUCCCAGAAAGGGUCCAGCUUGGAGAGGGGACUUCCCACCACACAGUGUGCAGUCAGAAACAGCUGGCCCCAUGGCCAAGGAAUAUGCUGACUAUUCCCGAAGCGUUUGUCAUGGGUCAUUGCCUUUCUUGGAGCACAAGACCAGCCCCCCAGCUCUUCAUGAUAUGAUACAAACCCAGAUGCAGGUGGGUGCUGCUCCCCUUCAUUUCUUCAUUCCAAACAUUUCCUGAAGAUCACAUCAACGAGCACGUGUAAAGUGAAAUAUCAAAGUUCUAGAUUAAAAACAAGUCCCCCCAAGCACAUGUGACUUGGCACAACUUCAGAGAAGAUGGAGUCCUCGCCUAGGUGGAUUGAAGCAUUGAAAAGUCUGCCAAUUUGAAAAAUCACAAUGCCUGAAGCUACCUCAAGAGAGAGGCAGCCUAUUAAACCACUUUCCCCAUCAGCAUACAGAAAUCAGCUAAAUUAUGUAGUUGAGGAGAGAACAGAGGGAGAGAAUGGGUUAGCUAAACUUUAAACUUGCCCAAGCAUCUAUAGGGUCAUGAACUUUUAUGGGGGUUAUCUCAGUUUUCUUCACAUAAAUAUCCCUAUUUCACUGUUGAGGAAACUAAUGCUCAGAGAAGUUACCUAUUUGCCCAAGGUCAAACAGCCAGUGAAACGUCAGGAUCUGCAUUCAAACCCAUGUCUAUCUGACCUGACACUGCUGUUCUCCCCUCUAUGAGAGCCUGAGAAAAGCAGACGUGAAUAGUGUGGGCUCUGGGGCCAGAUCACCUGAGCCUGAAUCCUGACUCCACCACUUGCCAGCUGUGAGACGUAAACAACACGCUUAUCAACACUGUGCCUCCCAUUCCUCCAUCUGUAAACAAGCACAAGAAUAGCAACUACCUGAGGGUUGUUUUGAGCAUAAAUGGAUUUAUACAAGUAGAGCAUCUAGACAUGUACUUAGUAACAUUAUUAUUACUAUGUCAAAUGCUGACUCUGGAGAGAAUCAGGACAAACAUACUUUGAUGAGAGAGAGAAAGGAAUACGAUCAAGUUGUAAGUCAGAGCAAGGCAGAUCAAGCAGAUUGCCCUCCAUAAUGCUGGUGGACCUCAUCCAAUCAGUUGAAGGGCUGAAUGGAAAAAAAGACUGGCCUCACCCUAGCAAGAGAGGAUUCUCCAGCAGACAGCCUUCUCACUUCAUCAGCAACAUCAGCUCUUCCUGAUUCUACAGCAGAGUGCCUUCAGACUUCAACUGGAACAUCAGCUCUCCUAAGUCUCCAGCCUGCUGGCCCAUUCUACAGAUUUUGAAUUUGCCAGCCUUCAUAGUCACAUGAGCCAGUUUCUUAUAGCAAAUCUCUUUCUACAUAUAUACACAUCCUAUUUGUUCUGAUUCUCUGGAGAACUCUGACUAAUAACAGACACAACAGGGGAAAGGCAUACAGAGCUUCUAAGAUACCCAU